rnacentral:rRNA from 1 species
UGGGGAAUAUUGCACAAUGGAGGGAACUCUGAUGCAGCGACGCCGCGUGAACGAAGAAGGCUUUCGAGUCGUAAAGUUCUUUUAUACGGGAAGAUAAUGACGGUACCAUAAGAAAAAGCCCCGGCUAACUACGUGCCAGCAGCCGCGGUAAUACGUAGGGGGCUAGCGUUGUCCGGAAUCACUGGGCGUAAAGGGUUCGCAGGCGGAAAUGCAAGUCAGGUGUAAAAGGCAGUAGCUUAACUACUGUAAGCAUUUGAAACUGCAUAUCUUGAGAAGAGUUGAGGUAAGUGGAAUUUUUAGUGUAGCGGUGAAAUGCGUAGAUAUUAAAAAGAAUACCGGUGGCGAAGGCGACUUACUGGGCUCAUUCUGACGCUGAGGAACGAAAGCGUGGGUAGCAAACAGG